ensembl:snRNA U6 U6 spliceosomal RNA
GCUUGCUUCGGCAGCAUAUACUAAAAUUGGAACGAUACAGAGAAGAUUAGCAUGGCCCCUACACAAGGAUGACACGCAAAUUUGUGAAGCGUUCCAUAUUUUU